ensembl:lncRNA
ACUUUUCUCUUCCAAGUUCCUUGCAAUCCAGACAAUCCGGAUGCAGAUAACAUCCUGCAUCUAGCAUGCUGAGUUGUCUCCAAAAUCUCUGAAGCCUACGCCAUGUCCUGCUGUUCCUAGAUUAAGGAAAUGGAUGCUUAAGAGAGAUCACAGACCUACCGCUAUACAUGCCAGAAGGAAAAAUUAAACCAGAGGAACUAUCUUGUCAUUCAGCCAUCAGACAUAGAGCCUGGCUUCAAACUCAACUCUCAUUCCAAAACGUGUGUUGAUUUCAAGACAACAUGUCAUAAUAGUAAAAAAAAGGGGAAUGGAAAAGGGAAAAUGUGAGUACAGAGAAAUUGGCACUGAUUUCCAUCACAAAAAGAGACUCUACAAAGCUCUGGAGGAAAGUUACACCACCGCAUAGGCUGAUGGUUGGGUGGCUCAGUGGUAGGAAAAUUUGCCUGUAGUGCAGG